CGGCAGGGCUCACUUGUGUCCCCUGGACAGUGGUUGUGGGAUUAAGGGAGUCCCUGCCUAGGGACUGCCUUGCACCUGCUCCACCUGCAGACUGCCCUGGUCAGGUGGGGGACCAAGGUGGGCACCUCUCUGGCUAUGGGGCUGGUCGGUGUGGCCCUCUGGAUGAGGCGUGAAGGGCAGAGCGUCCAGCAGGGGACGUGCUGCCAGCAGGGCCAGGGGUGUGUGAGCCUUGUGCCAAGCAGGAGUGUCCUCUCAUGUGGUGAGGCCUGGGGACAUGGCCCUGCUGCUUACAAGAUGACCACAGAUAGCUGGGCAAGGCACCUGGGGGGUGAGGGGGCACCCCAGAGCCGGGAGGCCAGACCCCUCAGCGCCCAGGAACGAGCUCACCAGCCCACCCCCGGGGGACAGUGGGAGCUGCCGGGGAGGUCCUCCGACGCCGGGAAACCAGGCCAGCAGCGCACAGGGCUCCCUCCGCAGGGGGCCGGCGAGCGUGUCCCUUGAUUAAAGAUGUGCAACCCGGGCUGUGCCAACGCCCAGGGCCGGCUGCUCCCCGGGACACUCCAGGCCACCCCCCCAGCCCCGCAGGGUGCCGUGCCGUGCACAGGAGACACGUGUGGACAGGUUUGUGAUCUGGUGCCGGGAGCCUGAGACUUGGCUCUCCUCGGCUUUGGUGGGGACACAACCCACCUGGGCCCAGAUGCUGCCCCUGGAGGGGGCUGGGCAGGCCUUGCCUCCGGACUCCCACCUGUGUCCCCUCCUCGGCGGCACGAGGACAUCCUGUGGGCUGGCAUGAACCUCGUCACAUGGCAUGGCCUUGGUGCCCACCGCAGGGGCCCUGUGGACUCACGAGCCUGGGAGGGGCCGGCCUGUGGCUUUCUGUCUUCCCUCAUCCAAGCAAGAACACCAGGCGCCCCUUCUGAGGGCACCCAGCCGGCCCCUGACCACAGCCCAUCUGCCAGCAUUGGCCACAGCCGACCUCACACCAGGCCCUAGUGCCUGAGCGGCCUGGAGCCCACUCUUCCCAGGCCCAUUCCUGCCGGGUUCCAGAACAUUCCAUCUCCUUGCUCCAUGAACCACUUCUGAAGGUCCCACAGACCCCAACUGGGGGUCAGCAGAGUGCAGACUCCCCACUGGGGUGCUGCCUGGAGCCUCAGGUGCACGCAGUCCACCCAGGUGAGCCUGUCACCUGCUUCACAGGUAAGGAAGCUCAGACUGGGCAGUAAGCCGUGGGCUCUGGCAGCCUGGCCCAGGCGGUCAUCCCCAUGCCAGGUGAGGACCAGGUGAAGCUUGCUCCCCCAACACUCCAGAGCCAAACGUGCGGAGCCCUGACCUGAAGUCCCCUCUGCCGGCAGCUGCUGUGCACCCCACAGGUGUGGUCCUGGCCCUGGGCCCCUAGCUAGCACAGCCCUCUCCGAUGCAGACCCAGCCCGCACUGCAGCCCCCACAUGGGACUCCUGCAGUUGGAGACGACAGGGGUGCCACAGAGCAGGGCCCAUGUGGUGCCCAGGCGCAGGCGGCUCCAGUCCUGCUCCCUGGGGGGCCCAGCGCCCAGCCUCCUGCCUCCGCAAAGCCUCCAGUGCCCCUGCAGGGUGCAGAGGUCCAGGCCUGCACUGUGCAGCACUGGCCAGACCCACGGCCACCAAGCACUGGAAAGGUGGCCACACAGGGAAGACCCAGUGGUAGUGCAGGCACAGCACCCGUGCCCCCACCAGCAGCCCGGUCACCGUCCCUCGGUCGCGAUCACCCGAAAGCCGGCCAGAGGGAAGCCUUGGCUCCCUCACAGGAGGCACCCACCUCUAGCCUGGCCGUCCAGCUCUUUGCCCUGGGCCAGCUGGGCCUGGGGAGGGGUCCCCGGGGGCAGGCUGGGGCUGCCCGAGUCCCCCGCCCAGGAACACCAUAUCCUUUCUCUGAAUUUAAGGAAGCAGCUCCCUGGAAGCUCAAGCAGUGGCAGAUGUUUCCUCCUGGGGCUCCCUGCCCCGCCCGCGGCCAGGCUGGGCUCCAGGGCCCUGUGGAGGUCAGGGUGCGGGCCAGCCUCGCCCCUCCCUGGGCCAGGAGGAAAAGGCUCGACAGCGUGUUCCAC
rnacentral:lncRNA from 1 species